UUACGGCCACAUCAUGUUGAAAGAUCGGUUCCCUUACGAUCACAGAAGUUAAGCAACUUCAAGCCUGGUCAGUAUAUAGAUGGGUUACCACUUGGGAAUAUCAAAUGCUGUAAG